rnacentral:lncRNA from 1 species
UGUCAGGGACAUCUUUGUUCCAAGGAGAUGCAAAGUACUACUUGAUGGUCAUCUAGAUAAAGGAUGUGAACGAAAGACGGGGAACAAGAGUAUAGCUUUGGAGAGGACAUAUUACAGUGGUACCCUUGAAGAACUGGAUACCUACUUUUCUUGAGGGAAGCUUUUUCUACGUGGAUCAACUUACAAGAAUGGUUCAAGAGAUGGCCCUUACUAAACAAAGUUAUAUACUAUCCCAAAUAUGUUCCAAUUUACCUAUUUUCUUGCCUUUAGACUUGCACACUGAUUUGCUCCAUAAUGGCCCUAGAGAUGGUUCAACCCAUACUUUUGCAGCAACUGUUGCCAACACUUCAGAAUAAUGAUUUCACAUGUGCAAGGUGACUGAUAAGUAGGGACAGCUAUACCAGCACAUUAACAAGUCUGGAUACACAGAGCCUCUGGCACGCCCCAAAUGCUUACGUGAGUCACCAAGUAACACAUCUUUGACAUACGAACUAUUAUGACCUGUGGACAUGCU